UCAUUUAGUAAUAGAAAUAAAAGACAGGGCAGAAGUCAGUGACUAGAAUGCGUUCAAAUCAAAUAUUCAACAAAUAUUUAUAGAACAGCCACUCUCUGCAAGCACUAUUCUAAUUGUUGGGGGUAGUUUAAUGAAUAGAACAUACAAAGAUCCUUGGCCCCAAGGAAUUUACAUGCUAGUGAGGGCCAUCCAUAAUAAAACGUGAAUAUAACUGCCAACAGAAUAUAGAAUAUAGAAUAUAACUGCCAGAAGAAUAGUCUACAAGAUCACCUUCAUCUCUGACACCAAUUGCAAGUUUGGGACCCAAAACACUCUUGGAUUUGGUAAUUCUGUAGAAAGACUCAAAGAACUCACUGAGAGCUGUGAUGCUCACAGUUAUGGUUCACUACAGUGAAGGAUACAGAUGAAAAUUAGCAAAGGAAAGAGAAGGAUGGGGUGAUGUCCAGGAGGCUUCUAAAUGUAGAUCUUCCAUUUGUCCUCUCUCACUGGAAUCAUAGACAUGGUUAACUCCUUCCGGCAUUGAUGGAUGCAUCAUAAUCAACACAGGGUAUUGUCAAGUAGCAAAAGCUCAUUUGAGACUUAAGGUCUAGAAUCUUUAUGGGGGCCCCAUCACACAGAUAUGGUCUGCUUGCCAACAUAGUUCACCUGACCUGAGACUGUGUGAAUCAAAGUCCCCACCUUAAAUCACGUUAUUAGUCUUUCCUUCAUGGCCCAGAGCCCCCAGAUAAACAGACACUUUCAUCAGUCAGAAUAUGCAAGGGUUUAGAGAUUACCUCUCAAGAGCUGAAGACAAAGGCCCCAGAUCUCUUUGGGCAAGGAUAAAUUCUUUACUACACAAUAACACAUAAGUAUGGAAUAUUGAGUGUUAGAUGAUGUUAAGUACUAGGGAAAUUUUUGUAAAAAAUAGAAUAAGGUAAAAGGAAUAGGGGUUGUGGGUAUAGGUAAUGGGGAGCAAGGGCAUUUUGCCUUAUUGAGUACCGUAUUUAGGAUAAACCUGUGGAAACGGUGACAUUUGAGCAAAGAGUUGAAGCAUGUGACUUGUAAGUAAUGAAAGCAAAGCACAGAAAGGGAAGGGACUUGUCCAAGGCCAGCUCAGAUCUGGUGUUUGUUACAGGGAGCUAAGCAAAGAUACUGUCUAGCAGUGUGCUGUACCAUUUUCCAGGCUGUAUGGUAAUGGGCUGAUUUUUAUUCUAAUCAAUGGCUUUUCCAUAGUUGGAUCACAGAGAUGUCAAUAAUGAAAUCUGGCCAAGAGAGUCAGGAGCUAGUCCAUGGGAAGUCAAAGUUCUGAAAUCUAGAGGAAAGCGAGACAAGAAGCAGAAGGAGCAGCUAGGUGUCAGACAUAGAAUACGGCCUGGGUUAGUUAAAAAAGUGUCAGAUAAUGUUGUGUCAUUUGUGUUGGGAUCUUUAUCCACAGCAUAUCCAGUUAGUCUCCUUCUAUGGCUGCUUCUGUGAGGAUAACCCCAAAUGUCAUUAACCCUUUUCCUGUAAUGUCCUACUUUACCCCUUUAUUCUGGCAAAUUCAUAUUUUUCUAACAAGACCCAUUUCACAUAAUCUUCUCUGAUUAUUCCCUCUUCCACUCUUCCUUAGCUCCUUAAACUCACUUUUGUAGCACUCAAAGCAUUGAAUUACGGUCUUUUGCAGGCUGUUCCAAUGACUAAACUGUAGGCUUAUAAUUAGUAAGAACCAUAUUUCAUUCAUAUUUGUAUCGCUAGGACCUCUUACCUAGUAUGUGUGCGGAGUAAAUAAAUAAGUGAAUUCUUGAAGCCAUGAAAGACCUUAAAGUGAUUGUUAUUUGUUAUACAUGUCAGAUAUCUCAAAAAACAAAAUACAUUGAUAUAAAGACUGCUUGGUGUAUGAGGAUAUGGAAUCAGAGUCGAAAUGACAUAAACCUGGCAAGAAUAGAGAAGAGGUGGUUAAUUCUGGCAAGGACUGUGGUCACUUUUCUGUGGUUAAUUUCUUGCUAGCAGUUCUAGAAUAAUUUUGGAUUGGAUUUUUGUCUGAGUCCUCCUUUUCAGUCUUCUAGGAUGAAGAAAUUACUUUUUGAUGUGCUAAUUCAUCUAUUUAUUCAUAUAACUAUUUUUUUUUAGUAAAUCAGGCAUUCUUUUAGGUGCUAGGGAUACAAAAAAAUGAGCAAGACACAAUUCCAGUCUUUUUUUUUUUCUUUUUUUCUUUUUUUGUCCUUUUAGGUCUGCACCCAUGGCAUACAGAGGUUCCCAGGCUAGGGGUCAAAUUGGAGCUGUAGCUUCUAACCUACACCACAGCCACAGCAAUGCCAGAUCUGAGCCACAUCUGUGACCUACACCAUAGCUCAUGGCAAUGCCAGAUCCUUAACCCACUGAGAAAGGCCAGGGAUCGAACCUGUGUCCUCAUGGAUGCUAGUAAGACUUGUUUUCACUGAGCUACGAUGGGAACUGCAAUCCUAGUCAUUUUGAAGAGCAUAACAAUUUAGUCGUAGAUUUUAAGGGGGCAGUUGACAUGAAGUCAAUCACAAUAUAGUAUCAUAUGUAUAAAUGAGGCAGAACCACAGCUGUAAGUGUAAUUUCACCCUCUUUUUAUAAAAAAGCCUACUGAACAGUCACAUCCAAUCACAUAUAAAAACAAUGGCACUGAAUGCAUAGAGGAAAAGCAUUCUGACUUUUCUAAUCUGGUUCUUUUCAUCCAGUUAAAUUCAUCUAAACUGAAUUUUAGCUCCUCCGCACUAGCUCUGUAAUUGUGAAAAACUGUUCUAAGCCUUGGUUUCCUAAUUUAUAAAAUAAAGACAGAAAUGUCUACCUCCCGAAAACUUUGGGAAGAAUAAUUUUGAGAACAUUUAUGUAAACUCCCGGAGUAUAGGUAACAGACUCUAAGCUGGGUUGUUUAUUUCACACUGUCUUUGAUAUUGGAAUGUUAAAAUUUAGAAUUUGCAGACCACAGAUCAUUAUGAAAAUUUUAUUUCAUUUUCAUAAUGUCCAAAUCUCUCACAUUUCUCCUGUAUAAGAAAAGUCUUUCCGUGACUGGGAAGAUUAGGGCGUUCAUGUUCAAAGUACAUGUAGUUAUGUAAUCCCAUGCCCUGCAGAAGAAUCCUUUUCUACUAGUGUGUGUCAUGUUCUGAUAAUAUGGAAAACAUCAUUUUGGCUUUUCUGUCAUCAGAGAACAUUGUACAAAAAGAUGUUACCUCCUAGUAAUGUCCUGUACACUUCAGAGGUCAGAUCUCUGUAUGAAUUUGUCAUACGUGUUCUUUCAAUUAGGGUAUGCAGGCCUUGCUGCAUAAACUGAAUUUAUUUUAAAAAGUGGUCCUGAUUCAUUCAUGAACUAAAAGCAAACAGAGGCAUAGUGUAUAAUAAAAGGUCAAUUUUCUAGAGGUCAGAGGAAAAGAAAAAUGUCACAUUAAUGGUAGUUUGGGGAAAAUGCAUUUUUAAAUCCUCCAUGUCAUGCAUUUUAGAGCUGUUAUAAUUUGUUCGAGUAAUGUAUUCUUAAAGGGAGCUGAAUCAUAUGUCCUAUGGUAAAACAUUCAACAAAGCUGGUUUUAUGAAAAGCUUCUGUCAUUGGCUUUUAACCCAGCAAAAUCCCAACAAUUGUAGUUUUUCCAAGCCCAAGUUCACAGUAUUUGAGCAACUGUUAUAUACUUAUCCACAUUUAUAUAUUCUUUUUUGAGUGGAAAAUGUAAUUUAUGUUUCAAAUCAAAUUAAAAUAUGGCCUUAAAAGGUAUUUCAUUCUUUGAAUAAAAGCCCAAAAGAAAACAUUAAAUUGCAAUUGAAGACUAUUUCAGGAGAAGACAGUUUAUUUGGAAAACUUCCAUGAACUUAUUAUUUUUGUUAAGAUAUUCCAGCUGCACUUUUUAGGAGUGCUAGACAUACUUUUCUGAUGUUCACUGGGCUUAGUGGCACAUGUCGUGCCUUGUAUUGUUUUUCAAUGUCUGUUGCAUUACAAAAAGCUGAGUUGAUCCUCGCGUGCAGUGUAGUUUGUCUCCUUUGAGCUCCCAGGCAACAGUAACCUCUCAUCAUGAUUACAGAGUCUUUUGCAGAAAGAUGGGCCUAAUCCCUGUGCUCCAUCAACUCAGUAAUCUAUUCCAAUCAGUGUUUGAUGGAUUUGACAGGCCAUCUCUAGCCAAGUGAGACAGACUCAGGCAGGUCAAGCAACUUAGGUCUGCUGCAAAAUGCUAGGGAAAAUCUUUGAGCUACAUCAAAAAUUACAUACACUAAAAUUGCUUCUGGCCUCUUCUCUUUUGACAGAGAAUGGAUAUAAAAAAUUUCCAGAUUUAUGGUUCAAAAUACCCCUAUUAUUUUACUUAUUGAAUGCAUUCAUUCAACAUUACAAUAAAUAACCUGGUAUUAUAUUUAACCAACAGCAGUAAUACAAGGUUAUUAAAAAAGCUAAUUGUUCAAUGCAUGAUUUGCUUAAUAUGUUUUGUUUGUCUGACAUAGACAUGAACAAACCCCCAACUUCUGAAAGUCAUAAAUCUGUUCUCACAGUUUAGCUUGGAAAGGCAUAAAUCAAUCAGUAAAUAUUUUUAAGGAUAUAGUUAAUCUAAAACAAUGAGCAUCAUCUCCUUUUAUGUGUGUUAAAUAUAAUGACAAAAAGGGAUCAUGUUCUUGCCCUGGUUGUGGGUUAAGCAUCUGACUGCAGCAUUUCAGGUUGCUGCAGAGGUGCAGGUUUGAUCCCCAGCCUGAUGCAGUGGGUUAAAAGAAUCUGCUUUGGCCACAGCUGCUGCUUACAUUGCAGCUGUGGCUGGGAUUCAGUCCCUGGCCUGGGAACCUCCAUAGGCCAUGGAUGUGGCCAUAAAAUUAAAAAUAUAGAAAAAAAGAAAGGGAGGGAGUCAUUUAGAAAGUUGAUUAUGGUGUAUUUCAAAUCCAGAUCUUUGAUCAGUUGUUCUCCAAUUUUGAAGGCUGGGAACCAUGGGAAAAAGCUCUUCUAUGUAAUAUGUCAUACUUGAGCACUCCAUAUUAACUAGCGAAUAUUAGUUUCUCUUAUAUAUUUUCUCUUUCUUAUAUUAGCAUAAGACAAGAAUAGAAUUUAAAACCUGCGAUUUGGAGUUCCUGUCGUGGCGCAGUGGUUAACAAAUCCCACUAGGAACCAUGAGGUUGUGGGUUCGAUCCCUGGCCUCGCUCAGUGGGUUAAGGAUCCGGUGUUGCCGUGAGCGGUGGUAUAGGUUGCAGACGUGGCUCGGAUCCAGUGUUGCUGUGGCUCUGGCCUAGGCUGGUGGCUACAGCUCCGAUUCAACCCCUAGCCUGGGAACCUCCAUGUGCCAAGGGAGCAGCCCAAGAAAUG
rnacentral:lncRNA from 1 species